rnacentral:tRNA from 1 species
GGAGAGAUGACCGAGUGGUUUAUGGUAGCGGUUUACUAAACCGCCGUCUCGCAAGGGACCGUGGGUUCGAAUCCCACUCUCUCCG